CAGUCGCCGCGGUAAUACGAAGGGGGCUAGCGUUGUUCGGAAUUACUGGGCGUAAAGGGCGCGUAGGCGGCCAUUCAAGUUAGAUGUGAAAGCCCUGGGCUCAACCUAGGAAUUGCAUUUGAUACUGUUUGGCUUGAGUUCGGGAGAGGUGAGUGGAAUUCCCAGUGUAGAGGUGAAAUUCGUGGAUAUUGGGAAGAACACCAGUGGCGAAGGCGGCUCACUGGACCGACACUGACGCUGAGGCGCGAAAGCGUGGGGAGCAAACAGGAUUAGAUACCCCAGUAGUCCCUGUCUCUUAUAC
rnacentral:rRNA from 1 species